CAGAGCGUUCCGCGGCGGCCAUACGGGCUUGUUUUGAAACAAAUGUUCGCAGGUUCAAAUCCCGCCGCUCUGACCA
rnacentral:tRNA from 1 species